rnacentral:rRNA from 1 species
UACGGAGGAUGCAAGCGUUAUCCGGAUUUAUUGGGUUUAAAGGGUGCGCAGGCGGAAUAGUAAGUCAGUGGUGAAAUCCUGCAGCUUAACUGUAGAAUUGCCGUUGAUACUGUUAUUCUUGAGUAUGGUCAAGGUAGGCGGAAUGUGUAAUGUAGCGGUGAAAUGCUUAGAUAUUACACAGAACACCGAUUGCGAAGGCAGCUUGCUGGGCCAUUACUGACGCUCAUGCACGAAAGCGUGGGGAU